AUGAAAACAAAUAUUGCAAAGUUUGUGUAGAAAUGGAAAACACCCUUUUGCGCCUCUUCUGUUGUUACAUAUAUGUCAAUUUUUUAGUCUAUCUGACCCAGCCAGAUAGUUCUUUACAUCAAGGCCUCCACCAUGUUUACCUGCUCAAGGUACCAGGAGUCAGCAAUUUAUGAAGGCUCUGCUGGACUGAGGGUAGUGGAGGCCUUGGAAUCAUUCUGGGCCAUGCUCCUACUUUUCCAUAGAAUCUGUCCAAUUGGUUGAUACUGACUUUUUUCAAGAACUGUUUUCCACUUGCCACCGUGGAGAUAGCACUCUGGGCAAUGGGAACCACAGUUUUGGACUAGCCCAUGCCAUCUUCAGAUCCAAGGCAUCUGCAAUGCCUGCUGGAUCGGAGCUCAAUGGUGAGGACUUCUCAGAACUGAGAAAAGCAAGUUCUUUUCAUUCUGCUGUAGGUCCACCUCAAGGGAAGCCUGACUGGAGCACAAGAACGUGUGCCUUGGCAAGGCUGCGCUCCGGGGACUGGCUGGCCAGCAGCUCCGGGACGGUCCUCGCCCAGCGCGCGGGUUGGGCCCACAGGGACGCGCUCCCGAUCUCUCAAAGCGCCAGAGCU